CCUACGGGUGGCAGCAAUUAGGAAUCUUUCGCAAUGGGGGCAACCCUGACGGAGCGACGCCGCGUGCAGGAGGAAGGCUUUCGGGUCGUAAACUGCUUUUAUCUGUGACGAUUAUGACGGUAGCAGAAGAAUAAGGGCCUGCUAACUACGUGCCAGCAGCCGCGGUCAUACGUAGGGCCCAAGCGUUAUCCGGAAUUACUGGGCGUAAAGAGUUGCGUAGGUGGCAUAGUAAGCAGAUAGUGAAAGCGUGCGGCUCAACCGCAUACCCGCUAUCUGAACUGCUAAGCUAGAGCAUAGGAGAGGUAGCUGGAAUUCCCGGUGUAGGAGUGAAAUCCGUAGAUAUCGGGAGGAACACCGAUGGCGUAGGCAGGCUACUGGCCUAUUGCUGACACUAAGGCACGAAAGCGUGGGGAGCGAACGGGAUUAGAUACCCUUGUAGU
rnacentral:rRNA from 1 species